rnacentral:rRNA from 1 species
AUUGAACGCUGGCGGCAUGCCUUACACAUGCAAGUCGAACGGUAACGCGGGGGCAACCUGGCGACGAGUGGCGAACGGGUGAGUAAUAUAUCGGAACGUGCCCAGUAGUGGGGGAUAGCCCGGCGAAAGCCGGAUUAAUACCGCAUGAGACCUGAGGGUGAAAGCGGGGGAUCGCAAGACCUCGCGCUAUUGGAGCGGCCGAUAUCAGAUUAGGUAGUUGGUGGGGUAAAGGCCUACCAAGCCGACGAUCUGUAGCUGGUCUGAGAGGACGACCAGCCACACUGGGACUGAGACACGGCCCAGACUCCUACGGGAGGCAGCAGUGGGGAAUAUUGGGCAAUGGGCGCAAGCCUGACCCAGCAAUGCCGCGUGGGUGAAGAAGGUCUUCGGAUUGUAAAGCCCUUUCGGCGGGGACGAUGGUGACGGUACCCGCAGAAGAAGCCCCGGCCAACUUCGUG